UACGUAGGUGGCAAGCGUUGUCCGGAUUUACUGGGCGUAAAGAGCGCGCAGGCGGUCGUUCAAGUCGCGUGUGAAAGCCCCCGGCUCAACUGGGGAGGGUCACGCGAUACUGAUCGACUCGAAGGCAGGAGAGGGUAGUGGAAUUCCCGGUGUAGUGGUGAAAUGCGUAGAUAUCGGGAGAACACCAGUGGCGAAGGCGGGUCUCUGGGCCGACACUGACGCUGAGGAGCGAAAGCGUGGGGAGCGAACAGG
rnacentral:rRNA from 1 species